rnacentral:rRNA from 1 species
GAAUUUUGGACAAUGGGCGAAAGCCUGAUCCAGCCAUGCCGCGUGUGUGAAGAAGGUCUUCGGAUUGUAAAGCACUUUAAGUUGGGAGGAAGUGCAGUAAGCGAAUACCUUGCUGUUUUGACGUUACCGACAGAAUAAGCACCGGCUACCUCUGUGCCAGCAGCCGCGGUAAUACAGAGGGUGCAAGCGUUAAUCGGAAUUACUGGGCGUAAAGCGCGCGUAGGUGGUUCGUUAAGUUGGAUGUGAAAUCCCCGGGCUCAACCUGGGAACUCCUUUCAAAACUGGCAAGCUAGAGUAUGGCAGAGGGUAGUGGAAUUUCCUGUGUAGCGGUGAAAUGCGUAGAUAUAGGAAGGAACACCAGUGGCGAAGGCGACCACCUGGGCUAAUACUGACACUGAGGUGCGAAAGCGUGGGGAGCAAACAGG